AUGCACACCCGAUCAGGCCCGACGUCUGCUCCGUCGAGCUCGGCAGCGGCAAGUAGCCAUGCCAGCUCCAGAGGAGACGCCGUUUCAGUCCCUGCCGGCUCCUGUGAGGAGCCUGAGAGCAGCGCCGCCGGCUCCUGUGAGGAGCCUGAGAGCAGCGCCGCCGGCUCCUGUGAGGAGCCUGAGAGCAGCGCCGCCGGCUCUAGUGAAGUUCCUGUUCCUGUCGGCCAAGUAGAUGCCGUUCCUGUUCAUGUCGGCCAAGUAGAUGCCGUUCCUGUUCCUGUCGGCCAAGUAGAUGUCGUUCCUGUUCCUGUCGGCCAAGUAGAUGCCGUUCCUGUUCCUGUCGGCCAAGUAGAUGCCGUUCCUGUUCCUGUCGGCCAAGUAGAUGCCGUUCCUGUUCCUGUCGGCCAAGUAGAUGCCGUUCCAGUCCCUGUCGGCCAAGUAGAUGCCGUUCCAGUCCCUGUCGGCCAAGUAGAUGCCGUUCCAGUCCCUGUCGGCCAUGUAGAGGUCGAUCCAGUCCCUGUCGGCCAUGUAGAGGUCGUUCCAGUCCCUGUCGGCCAUGUAGGGGGCGUUCCCGUCCCUGUAGGCCAAGUAGAGGUCGUUCCCGUCCCUGUAGGCCAAGUUGAGGUCGUUCCCGUCCCUGGUCCGGUUCCCAUCGGCCCUGUAGCGGCCGUUCCAGUCCCUGUCACCCUCGGAGCCGCAGCGCCCGCCGGCCUCCAGGAGGAGGCGGCGCCUGCUGCAGCUCCUGCGGACCUCCAGGAGGAGGCGGCGCCCGCUGCAGCUCCUGCGGACCUCCAGGAGGGGGUCGCGCCAGCCGCAGUCCCGGCGGACCUCCAGGAGGGGGUCGCGCCAGCCGCAGUCCCGGCGGACCUCCAGGAGGGGGUCGCGCCCGUCGCAGUCCCGGCGGACCUCCAGGAGGGGGUCGCGCCCGUCGCAGUCCCGGCGGACCUCCAGGAGGGGGUCGCGCCCGUCGCUGUCCCGGCGGACCUCCAGGAGGGGGUCGCGCCCGUCGCGGUCCCGGCGGACCUCCAGGAGGGGGUCGCGCCAGUCAUUGUUCGUGCCGACCUCCAGGAGGGGGUCGUUCCCGUCGCGGCUCCGGCCGCACCUGCAUCGGUUCCUGGCGGCUCGGCUCCGGCCGCACCUGCAUCGGUUCCUGGCGGCUCGGCUCCGGCCGCACCUGCAUCGGUUCCUGGCGGCCCGGCUCCGGCCGCACCUGCACCGGUUCCUGGCGGCUCGGCUCCGGCCGCACCUGCACCGGUUCCUGGCGGCCCGGCGCCGGCCGCAUCUGCACGACUGUUCCCGCCUCAUCGGCCGGACGGGUGGCCUCGCCCUCGGUGCCUCCUGCUGAUUGGAUGGCGCUGCCUCCUUCGGCGCCGUCCGCCUCGACUCCGCCACCGCCACGGCCGUUCGCCUGGGGUGAGUCCCCUUCUGCCACGACGAUGGCGAAGCCUCUGCCGUCGCCGUCCGCCGCGACCCUGGGAUCCCCAGAGGAUCUCCGUCGGGAGUGGACUCUCCUGCCACCCCCCUCGUGAGGAACCCCUGGACUCUGUUCUCCCGGUCAUGGACUUUCGGUUUCGGUUCUGUGGACUCUUGUUUUGA
rnacentral:lncRNA from 1 species